AACGAACGCUGGCGGCAGGCUUAACACAUGCAAGUCGAACGAUGUAGCAAUACAUAGUGGCGCACGGGUGAGUAACGCGUGGGAAUAUACCGAGAAGUGGGGAAUAACUCCGGGAAACGACUGCUAAUACCGUAUACGCCCUACGGGGGAAAGAUUUAUCGGAUUUGGAUGAGCCCGCGUAAGACUAGCUAGUUGGUGGGGUAAUGGCCUACCAAGGCGACGAUCUUUAGCUGGUCUGAGAGGAUGAUCAGCCACACUGGGACUGAGACACGGCCCAGACUCCUACGGGAGGCAGCAGUGGGGAAUAUUGGACAAUGGGCGCAAGCCUGAUCCAGCCAUGCCGCGUGAGUGAUGAAGGCCUUAGGGUUGUAAAGCUCUUUCAGUAGGGAAGAUAAUGACGGUACCUACAGAAGAAGCCCCGGCUAACUUCGUGCCAGCCGCCGCGGUAA
rnacentral:rRNA from 1 species